rnacentral:rRNA from 1 species
ACUCCUACGGGAGGCAGCAGUGGGGAAUAUUGCACAAUGGGGGAAACCCUGAUGCAGCCAUGCCGCGUGUGUGAAGAAGGCCUUCGGGUUGUAAAGCACUUUCAGCGAGGAGGAAAGGUCAGUAGCUAAUACCUGCUGACUGUGACGUUACUCGCAGAAGAAGCACCGGCUAACUCCGUGCCAGCAGCCGCGGUAAUAC